UGUAUUUUCAUUUCCAGAGCCAGUGAAAUGAUUCGAGGUCUGGGGGUUUUGGGUGGGGGCGGAGGCCAGCAAGGCUUUUUCUGCACUUGGCGUGAAUCGCAGCGCAAGGCGAUUCAGGAACGAUGCUCGCAGCCCACCACCCCUCUCCGUACGUUCGGAUUCAGAGGAGCGGACGGCGUUUGGAUUCAGUCUGGCUCCGGGGAUUUUUCAUUUUAAUGCUUCCGCUUUCUGCAGUGACACGAGCCUGUUCCUAGACUGCAGUUUCCUGCAUUGGUCUUUCCAUUGCUUGGGGGUUUCCUUGCCGGCCUCGUAUUUGCAUUGUGCUGGGCUCAGAACGCACGUGUGCAUGUGCACGUGGGCACACGAGAGCCAGUCAGGCCUGGCGCGCAGGCUGCAGGGGCCGUCUGAGACAGAGACAGUCUCUUUUAUUACUGCAGCAAGAAAACAGGAAUGGAUCCAGAAGAGCAGGCAUGAAAGUCAGCUAUUCAGAGAGGAGAAGGAAGCAUGCAGCAGAUGGCAUUUGAAUCCUGUGAUCGCACACAGCAUCCCCGUCACCAAUAAUUAACCCCUUUCUUGCACACGGAGGGACGGCCUGCCACUCAUCUCAGUUCUGUGGUUCCUCAGCCCCGGGAUAAGAGGGACAGUACGUAUUGCUAUUAACCUCUGACCUGCCACAGUUCGCAUGUGCAAAGCCUUUCUCAGACAUGAUAGCAGAAGGGCAGGUAUUUUCUUUUCCCUACUUCUUUUGUCUGUUCUGAGAUAUGCUGUCCAGUGGCCAGGGCUAUGAGGGGCCGCUAAAUCCUCGGGGAGGGGGAAAAACCCUGCCAUUCUGCCAGGACAAUCUGCAAAAUAACUACCGAGCACAGAGUGAUUAUUCAGAGGCGAACCUCUCGGGUGGACAGAGGGUGAGGCUUCCAGGUUCUGCAGCGUGGAGGACACGACGCCUUGCAUGGGCGACAUUGGCACACGCACACGAAUGGGAUCUCAUGGGCCAACAUCAAGAUGGAAGAAAUGCAGACGUUUUCAUGAAGGCAAACUGGGACAUUUCCCUUUUACCACGAUGAUAGGGAUUUAGGAGACCUAUCCCUGCUCUAUGUCUUUCAUCAACUCAAGACCAAGAGGACUUGCCAUUUGGGACUUUUCCAGAAGAUACAAAAAUGGUUCUCUACAGCAUUUGUUUUGCAAGAGUAGCCUGCAAAAACAUCUAUUCAUCCUUUUUCACUGGGAUGCUCUCCAGAAGGGGGAGUUUUCCCUAUUCAGAGCUUUUAGCAUAUGUUUCGUGUAGAGAGAGUCAUUCAUUCAUUUCCUUCCACCACCCCAUGCUCACAUUGUCAGUAUUGCCCUACAGAAUAUACAGCAUGCAUUUUUGUUUCCUUAUUUUAACUAAAGGAUUCAAUUAAUUUUUUUUUCUACAUAAUAUUCCAUGAUUGGGUGAAUUAAAUUUAAAGCUACCCCCUCAUUAUGACUUUGCAAACAAAAACAUUAUUUCUAGGAAAAUGCAAACAUCUUGGCUUCCACCUUUUCAAUUUUGUAUCAUCAAGGAAAUUACAAGACAAUCAAAUCACUGGUAGAAAUAAAUCAAUUGGUUAUAUAGUGGUAUAUAUUUUUUCUAUAGGAACGUAUGGAAAUAUUGACAAUAUGAAGCCAAAACAGGGAUAGGAACUGAACAGUAAACAUCUGCAGAUGACUGGAAACAGAUGAUGGGAACCAUCCAAAGGAACUCAAGACUGAAGAAAGGUUACUUAACCAUAAUGGUCAGUCUUUGAGAGAGUAUCUACAAGUAGCAGUCUACUCCCAGGCCAGGCUGAAGCAAUUGAUUAAACUUUGGCUAUCACCCAAACACACAC